UCCAGGUCUAUGUUUACCUUCACAACCUCUGAAUAUGUUUAGAAUGUUGGAAUAUAAUAUAUAUAUAUACAACUUUCAGCAACGGAUCUCUUGGCUCUCGCAUCGAUGAAGAACGCAGCGAAAUGCGAUAAGUAAUGUGAAUUGCAGAAUUCAGUGAAUCAUCGAAUCUUUGAACGCAUCUUGCGCUCCUUGGUAUUCUGAGGAGCAUGCCUGUUUGAGUGUCAUCAAUCUCUCAACUACACCAAUCUUUCUGGUUUGGUGUAGCUUUUGGAUGUGGGGGUUUUAUUUUGCUGGCCUCUAUUAAAUGAGGUCAGCUCCCCUGAAAUUUAUUAGCGGUAUCUGAGCAGAGACCUACCACAGGUGUGAUAAAUUAUCUAUGCCUUGGUAAUGCUGCAUCAACAGAUUGUGCU
rnacentral:rRNA from 1 species